CUGCAACGUGAAACUGUCUUAA
rnacentral:miRNA from 1 species